AGCGAACGCUGGCGGCAUGCCUUACACAUGCAAGUCGAACGGUAACAGGUCUUCGGAUGCUGACGAGUGGCGAACGGGUGAGUAAUACAUCGGAACGUGCCUAGUAGUGGGGGAUAACUACUCGAAAGAGUGGCUAAUACCGCAUGAGAUCUACGGAUGAAAGCAGGGGAUCGCAAGACCUUGUGCUACUAGAGCGGCCGAUGGCAGAUUAGGUAGUUGGUGGGAUAAAAGCUUACCAAGCCGACGAUCUGUAGCUGGUCUGAGAGGACGAUCGGCCACACUGGGACUGAGACACGGCCCAGACUCCGACGGGAGGCAGCAGUGGGGAAUUUUGGACAAUGGGCGCAAGCCUGAUCCAGCAAUGCCGCGUGCAGGAUGAAGGCCUUCGGGUUGUAAACUGCUUUUGUACGGAACGAAAAGCCCUGGGUUAAUACCCUGGGGUCAUGACGGUACCGUAAGAAUAAGCACCGGCUAACUACGUGCCAGCAGCCGCAGUAAAAC
rnacentral:rRNA from 1 species